CCCUUAGAUGUUCUGGGCCGCCCGCGCGCUACACUGAUGCAUUCAACGAGUCUAAAACCUGCUCUGAUAGGGGUGGGUAAUCUUUUGAAUGUGCAUCGUGAUUGGGAUAGAUGAUUGCAAUUUUUCAUCUUCAACGAGGAAUGCCUAGUAAACGCAAGUCAUCAGCUUGCAUUGAUUACGUCCCUGCCCUUUGUACACACCGCCCGUCGCUCCUACCGAUUGAAUGAUCCGAUGAAUAUCAUGGAUUGAGGAUGCAAGUAGGUUCGCCUAUCUUCAUCUUCGAGAAGUGAAGUAAAUCUUAUCAUUUAGAGGAAGGAGAAGUCGUAACA
rnacentral:rRNA from 1 species